rnacentral:rRNA from 1 species
GACGAACGCUGGCGGCGUGCUUAACACAUGCAAGUCGAACGGAAAGGCCCGGCUUUUGUGGGGUGCUCGAGUGGCGAACGGGGGAGUAACACGUGAGUAACCUGCCCUUGACUGUGUGAUAACUUCAGGAAACUGGGGCGAAUAUCGCAUAGGAGCUCCUGCUGCAUGGGGGGGGUUGGAAAGUGUCGGCGGUUGUGGAUGGACUCGCAGCUUAUCCGCUUGUUGGUGGGGUAGUGACUGACCAAGGCUUUGACGGGUAGCCUGCCUGGGAGGGUGGCCGGCCACCAUGCGCCUGCGAUACGCACCAGUAUCCUACGGGACGCAGUAGUGGGGAAUCUUGCACAGUGGGCGGGCGCCUGAUGCAGCAACGCCGCGUGCGUGAUGCCGGCCUUCUGGUUGUAAACAGCUUUGGCAUGUGCCGAAGCGUGCGUGACGGUAAUGGGUCAGGAAGCCCCGGCUAACUACGUG